GAGUCAGGACUCGGGUUCUCGCCCCGGCUCUGGGAGGGGAGUGGGGGCUGGGAGCCAGGACUCCUGGGUUCUCUCCCCGGCUCUGGGAGGGG